rnacentral:rRNA from 1 species
GAUGAACGCUGGCGGCGUGCCUAAUACAUGCAAGUCGAGCGAACAGACGAGAGUGCUUGCACUCUCUGACGUUAGCGGCGGACGGGUGAGUAACACGUGGGUAACCUACCUAUAAGACUGGGAUAACUUCGGGAAACCGGAGCUAAUACCGGAUAAUAUUUAGCUUCGCAUGAAGCAAUAGUGAAAGACGGUUCUGCUGUCACUUAUAGAUGGACCCGCGGUGUAUUAGCUAGUUGGUGAGGUAACGGCUCACCAAGGCAACGAUACAUAGCCGACCUGAGGGGGUGGACCGCCCACCCUGGGCUGAGGCCCCGCCCCAGCUCCCUCCGGAGGCCGGCAGUGGGGAACCUUCGGCAAUGGCGGAAGUCCUGACGGGGCAUUGCGCCGUGAGUGAGGAAGGUUUUCGGUCCGAAAACUCUGUUGUAAGGGAAGAACAAGUACGUUAGUAACUGAACGUACCUUGACGGUACCUUACCAGAAAGCCACGGCUAACUACGU